GUGGGAGGGGGCUUGCCCCCGAUGGCUGUGUGUCAGCCAGUACAUUCAGGGCUGACACACUGCUAUCGGGGGCAGGCCCCCUCCCAC
rnacentral:misc_RNA from 1 species